CUUUUGAUGAAUUGUAAUGUUUUUGUUGGGCCGGACAUUGCUUAGAGAAACAACAAGACGUUGCGCAUCCUCAUCGUUGGCUCGAGUCGCACCUGUGUCUUACUUCAGUGUUCAGGAUCAAGUUGUAAGGGACUCUAAGGACUCCGCAUUCAAUCUGCGAGACAUGGUGACGAACACAAGAAAAUCAUUGAGGAAAAAUGCUGCAAGUGCCGGCCCAACCACCAUGGACAUCGAUGCUGGCAAUCAGGC
rnacentral:lncRNA from 1 species